GACGAACGCUGGCGGCAGGCUUAACACAUGCAAGUCGAGCGCCCCGCAAGGGGAGCGGCAGACGGGUGAGUACCGCGUGGGAACGUACCUUUUGGUUCGGAACAACUCCGGGAAACUGGAGCUAAUACCGGAUAAGCCCUAACGGGGAAAGAUUUAUCGCCGAAGGAUCGGCCCGCGUCUGAUUAGCUAGUUGGUGAGGUAACGGCUCACCAAGGCGACGAUCAGUAGCUGGUCUGAGAGGAUGAUCAGCCACACUGGGACUGAGACACGGCCCAGACUCCUACGGGAGGCAGCAGUGGGGAAUAUUGGACAAUGGGCGCAAGCCUGAUCCAGCCAGGCCGCGUGAGUGAUGAAGGCCUUAGGGUUGUAAAGCUCUUUUGUCCGGGAAGAUAAUGACUGUACCGGAAGAAUAAGCCCCGGCUAACUUCGUG
rnacentral:rRNA from 1 species